CGGUCCCGCCCGCCGGACGCCGGGACCAACGGGACGGCGGGCGGCCCAAGGGCCGCCCGCCUUGCCGCCCCCCCAUUGGCCGGCGGGCGGCCCCGCCCCAAGGGGGCGGGGCCGCCGGGUAAAAGAAGUGAGAACGCGAAGCGUUCGCACUUCGUCCCAAUAUAUAUAUAUUAUUAGGGCGAAGUGCGAGCACUGGCGCCGUGCCCGACUCCGCGCCGGCCCCGGGGGCGGGCCCGGGCGGCGGGGGGCGGGUCUCUCCGGCGCACAUAAAGGCCCGGCGCGGCCCCG
rnacentral:miRNA from 1 species